CUGGCGGCGCGCCUAACACAUGCAAGUCGAACGAGAAAGUCCGCAAGGAUGAGUAAAGUGGCGUACGGGUGAGUAACACGUGGAUAACCUGCCCUUUAGUGGGGAAUACCGCUGGGAAACCGGCGACAAUACCGCAUAAGCUCGAGAGAGGAAAGCAGCAAUGCGCUGAAGGAGGGGUCCGCGGCCGAUUAGCUAGUUGGCAGGGUAAGAGCCUACCAAGGCUGUGAUCGGUACCCGGCCUGAGAGGGCACACGGCCACACUGGCACUGAAACACGGGCCAGACUCCUACGGGAGGCAGCAGUGGGGAAUCUUGCACAAUGGGGGAAACCCUGAUGCAGCGACGCCGCGUGAGCGAUGAAGCCCUUCGGGGUGUAAAGCUCUUUCGGCAGGGACGAUAAUGACGGUACCUGCAGAAGCAGCUGCGGCUAACUACGUGCCAGCAGCCGCGGUAAUACGUAGGCAGCAAGCGUUGUUCGGAGUUACUGGGCGUAAAGGGUGCGUAGGCGGCUUCUUAAGUCUGGUGUGAAAUCUCCCGGCUCAACUGGGAGGGUGCGCCGGAUACUGA
rnacentral:rRNA from 1 species